rnacentral:rRNA from 1 species
GAACCUUACCUGGGCUUGACAUGCUGGUGAAACUCGGUGGAAACACCGGGCCCUCUUCGGAGCACCAGCACAGGUGCUGCAUGGCUGUCGUCAGCUCGUGUCGUGAGAUGUUGGGUUAAGUCCCGCAACGAGCGCAACCCUCGCUCCCAGUUGCCAGCGGUUCGGCCGGGGACUCUGGGGGGACUGCCGGCGUUAAGCCGGAGGAAGGUGGGGACGACGUCAAGUCAUCACGGCCCUUACGUCCAGGGCGACACACGUGCUACAAUGCCCGGUACAGCGCGUCGCGAACUCGCGAGAGGGAGCCAAUCGCUAAAAGCCGGGCUAAGUUCGGAUUGCAGUCUGCAACUCGACUGCAUGAAGCCGGAAUCGCUAGUAAUCGCGGAUCAGCCACGCCGCGGUGAAUACGUUCCCGGGCCUUGUCACACCGA